UACGUAGGGGGCAAGCGUUGUCCGGAUUUAUUGGGCGUAAAGAGCGUGUAGGCGGCCGCACAGGUCCGUUGUGAAAACUGGAGGCUUAACCUUCAGACGUCGAUGGAAACCGUGCGGCUAGAGUCCGGAAGAGGAGAGUGGAAUUCCUGGUGUAGCGGUGAAAUGCGCAGAUAUCAGGAAGAACACCAGUGGCGAAGGCGGCUCUCUGGACAGGUACUGACGCUGAGACGCGAAAGCGUGGGUAGCAAACAGG
rnacentral:rRNA from 1 species